UAGCGAUUAAUGAAGCAUAUUUUGGUAAAUUAACUUGGGAAAACAAUUAUAGAAAUUAAAAAUAUUAUUGUGUUAGCCAUUUUCAGAGCAUUAAUUUAAUGGAGCAAGAAUGUUUUAAGAAAUGUUUUGAAGAAUCUGUUAUUGAUUAAAGUUAUCACUAAUCAGUAAAAGUACUCAGGUGGGAUUAUGGUGAUUUUUCUAAACUUGAUUUUGUUUUGAUUUAUAUCCAUUUAAAACGUUUUGAAUAAAACUUUAAAUUCAACGACAAGUAAAAGACCUAGGUAAAAUUGGUAUAUGUUGAAAAUGUCUAGAUUUGUUAAGUUGACAUUAUAAUUUCUCCGGGUUUAACUCUUUUGAAUUUUGUUUAAGGAAAGCAUGUUGAAUGUUUUAGACAAAUAACCAGUAAGAUCCAGUUUGUACUAUAAAAGUAAUUUAAACUGGACUGUCUACUUCACACUGAUAUUCAUUGUUUUGAUGAUAAAUGUAAACUGUACAACUGCAGCAAAUUUUAAGCUUUUGUUUAUUGUUUUGUUUUGUUUGUUUAAUUCUAUUUUAUAAGAUUGGUUUAAGAGGAAGAUCUGCAUAUGUUUAACAUUUUGGCAAAACAUUACUUUGGAAACAUGUCUUUUGAAGCUGGUGAUUACAGGGUUUUGUGGAUUAAUUUUCUCUGA